rnacentral:tRNA from 1 species
GGAUUGUGGCUCAGUGGCAGAGUGCUUGCCUCGCCUGUGUGAGGCACUGGGUUCAAUCCUCAGCACCA